CCCCAGCUCGCCGCAGCAGCCAGAACUCAGCACGCUCCUUUCGGCCCCCGUGGGGUUGUGGGGAAUGUUUACCAAGAGGCCCAGACCGGCUCUCGGAGCAGCUGAGCGCGGAGGCGACCAGCGGCCACGAGGUUCGGGCCCGCAAGGCAGACAUCAUUCAUCUACCAUGGCAGCAAGGCACGUUCCGAAAGUGACUUCCAAGGAGGGAGCAUCACAGUGCCAGGAGAAGCACGUGGUUCUGCUCAGCCCUGUGGGAAAACUGGAGAUAUCAGGGUGUGAAACAGGAGUACACGAAAUUAAACUCCCCAAACUGAGUGUGCUGCCAAAUGGGACGGAGGCUCCGAUGCGCUGUGAGCUGUGUGGCGCUGCGACCUCCAUGCCGGAGCCGCUGCAGCAGUGCGCAGCCUGGCUGAGCGCCUACUUCUGUGAGCCCAGCAGGACACAGCAGCUGCCCCUGCCACCCUUCCACCACCCCAAGCUGCAGCGAGAUUCGUUCACCAGAGAGGUGUUGUGGACCCUGCUGAGGGAAGUGAAGUUUGGAGAGACCAUUUCUUACCAGCAAUUAGCAGAGCAAGCAGGCAACAGCCGAGCAGCAAGAGCGGUGGGAGGAGCAAUGAGGAGCAACCCUAUCCCAAUUAUCAUACCGUGCCACAGGGUGAUUUGCAGCAGCGGGCAGAUCGGCAACUAUGGAGGAGGAAACCUUAUGAAAGAGUGGCUUUUGUCACACGAGAAGCUCCAGAAAGAGAAGUUAGCAGAUUGAUGCGGCUCAGCCACAGCUGCUCGACAGCCAAGGCACACGACUGCAGCAACUUGGCUUAUAACGAGCUCUCAGAGCACCCAGCAGAAUUCAGAAAAAUGAUCUGUGGCUAAUGGUGUGCUUCCAGAAGAAGACGUACUGUGUGCAGCAGAAGAGGAAGAGUCCUGCGUGUGUGCGUAUGAGCUGAUGGCAGCGAGACAAGAAGGGCUGUGGCAGAAAAGGCUGUGGAACAAAACCCACAACAAUCUAAUCAUGAUCUCUGCUGGUCAGUGAGAUCUGUGUGAGAAGACGUUGCAUAAAGCAGACACAUCCAGGAAAUAAUGCCCGUCCAGUGCGGCCAGAUGGAGAGGGAACAAACGAGGAUGGAAGCAUGGGUAAUGCUCCAAGACGCUCUGGAGUCCCGAUGUGCCAUGUGCCUGGAUUAUGCAGUAAUACCAGGACAUGCUACUUUAAACACCUUCCUCCUUUUGUAAUCACCAAUUAGUGCAAUCAGCAGCGGUGCCCUGAUGAGCUGCGGGCCACACGUGUGGCACAGCAACCUUCCUGGCACGGAUGAAGAUGUACUUUAACCCACACACCUAAAGCUCCAGGCGUGCCCCCUCCCAGUGGCAUGGAUUAUGGAAAAUGUUACAUCCCGAAGAGGGAAAUGUCAUUGCUUUAAAUACCAGCAUUAACAGUUGGUAAAAGUUCUUUUUCACUGAGGAAGAAAAAUGAAACAAUGGGAAAAAAUGGAGAAAUAUAUCGGAUUGCAAAAAGAAAAAUCAUUUUUGUGUUAAUUUGACCGAGAAGGGGCUUCACUCCCCAACGUCAGUGGCUUACAAGCGAGCGUGUCUCAUGCUGGACUUUUUACUGGAACGGUGAAAUAUAUAAUGAAAUUCAACAAGGAAACUGGAAAAACAGCCAAAUUGGUGCAGCAAAGUGGUUAAUAGGAUCAUUAGCCUACUCGCUGUAUUUUUUUGGACAUUGUGUGCCUGUACCGUAGUCCUCGAGAGCAGAUUGCAGGAACAGGCUGACAGUUACCCGCUAACUCAGCAGUGCUGGGUGCAAACUGCCAUCUUCCUGUGGAUUUACAGCUGCCACUUCUGCUACUUCAAUUAGUUCUAUAGCACACAGAUGUUGCUUAAAUGUUGCUGCUAAUGAUACUGCAAUAAGCGUAAGAUUCAUGCCAUAUUUUGAGGCACGUAAAUUUCUCAAGUGGCACAAUUAAAGUGGAAAUAUUAGGUGGGGAGAACUUGGCAGUCUCUCGAACUUGGAAAGCGCACCCGCUAUGCAAUAAUGGGUCAAAAAUUCAUUCAAGUUUUACUGCUGUUCAGAGUUUUAAAAGACUUUUCACAGUUGAAUGCAAAGUAGUAAAAAGCAGAGUAUUAGGAAAUGAGAAUGCUGUUCUGUUAUUCAGACAUGACUUUUAAUUUCAAAUUGAAAUCACAUGCCUACCUUCCUCUGCCAUCGCCGUGCAGUGCUGCAAUCGAAAGAGGAGCUUGGAAGAAGGAGGACAGCACGUUCCAGCCAACCUGGGAGCAAUGCAAGGGGAUGCGUGUCAUGCUGGCAGUGAUGGAGAGAGGAGCAUUGCUGCUGGAUCUGCUUUGUGCUGCACAGACACACACCAUCUUCCUCAUCCCCCGUUGCAAAGAUGACAUGUCACAGAGGAGGAGGUGCCGGGUGGGGACACACCAGCAGGAAGGGCUUGAAAGAUAUUUGGCAAAAUGUAUUUAUCAUUAUUUCCCCAUCCUCCUGUUGUCCUGCAUCACAGCCCACAGUCCUCACACAUGAGGGCGUGGUGUCAAUGGGUUGAUUGUUCCCUGGCUGACCUGUUGGCACAGAAAAUUGUUUGAUUUGUAAUAAUUAUUUCGUGUUGAGCUGGAUUUACUGUGCAACUACUGUUUCUAUGAAUGGCCUUGAUGCCAGGGUCAAAUAGAGUUGAUCACUGAUUGUGACUGUUUACACUUUUAAUACCAGGAAUUUGGCUCAGGCUGACGUGAAUUAUUGGUAUGUGCCAACAAUGCACGACUUUUCAUGGUAACAUUUUUAAAAAUUACCUUAAUUCUACAAACUGAUAUUUCUUUGCAAUUUAUCAGAUGUAGUUUGUUCAACAGGAGGGCGAUUCUGGGCUUCACCAUGCAAUAAUGUAACUGGAAUUUAAUUUCUGCA